rnacentral:rRNA from 1 species
UAGGGAAUCUUCGGCAAUGGACGGAAGUCUGACCGAGCAACGCCGCGUGAGUGAAGAAGGUUUUCGGAUCGUAAAGCCCUGUUGUUAGAGAAGAACGUUGGUAGGAGUGGAAAAUCUACCAAGUGACGGUAACUAACCAGAAAGGGACGGCUAACUACGUGCCAGCAGCCGCGGUAAUACGUAGGUCCCGAGCGUUGUCCGGAUUUAUUGGGCGUAAAGCGAGCGCAGGCGGUUCUUUAAGUCUGAAGUUAAAGGCAGUGGCUUAACCAUUGUACGCUUUGGAAACUGGAGGACUUGAGUGCAGAAGGGGAGGGUGGAAUUCCAUGUGUAGCGGUGAAAUGCGUAGAUAUAUGGAGGAACACCGGUGGCGAAAGCGGCUCUCUGGUCUGUAACUGACGCUGAGGCUCGAAAGCGUGGGGAGCAAACAGG